ensembl:lncRNA
GUUGAGAACUGUUCUGCGCAUGUGUCCUGGGAUUACUAGAUUGCGCCUACUUUGUCAUCCAGUUUUAGCCAUACCCUACCUUCCUACCUCAGUAGGAUAUGAUUUGGUGAUUCUAUAUGCUAACCUGUAGAGGAGAGUCUGUAUUAGGAAAGACGUGGAGAAGAACUGCGUUUCUCCUCUGCUAUGCAUUAGAACUCUAGGAAGAAAGUGACAAAUUCAAAGAUGGAGAUAGAAUGAAGCUAAAGAACAAUCACUUGCCUGAGGCCAUUUGAGGAAAAAAACCAAGAAGAUGCCGUAUGUGGAAGUUGAGCUCUCCUGCUGGAGAGGCCAUGGAAGAAAAUCAAGGUGCUCUCAUUGACAGCCCAAUUGUCAGCCAUGUGAGCAAGACUGUCCAGGUCCAACCAGCCACCAGUUGACCCACCGAGAUCUGCCAACAGAUUGGAAAUGCCACACGAGUCCAACUGAGAUCAUAUGGAGCAGAUAUGGGCUUUCCCAGCUGAACUCAGCCCAAAUUACUGACCUAAAAAGUUGAGGAUAAAUAAGUAACAGUCAUUUUAAGCUACUAAGCUUUGGGAGUGAUUUGUUACACAGUAAUAGGCCAAGCACAGAAAAGAUGAGUACCUAAGGAUCCUGAGGCUGUGUUUCAAGCAUAGAUAUACCCAUUUGCCUUUGUAUGAAGUGCUUAUUCUGAAAUUAACCACAACACAGAGCCUUUUGAGGUUAUGGUAAAUGGACACUGAGAAUUUGAAGAACUGGCUGACAACACUACAGGAAUGGGAGUGGUGCUGCAGUCUGAAGAAUUCCCCUUGAGCCUUUGUAUCUUGGUGGUAGGGAGUGACAGACAAAGAACUUUCUCUGUAUCCUGCUUUGGGUCAAAACCAAAAUGGCAAUGAAAGUGAUCUCUAUAUCCAAACAUUGUUAGAGAAGAAGAUAAAUCACUACAUCUUUUGAAACAUUGCCUGCAAGCUGCCCAGAAGUGGAUUUGAGAAUGUGUUUGGAGCCUGAGGGAAAGCAGCUUUGUACAUGAUUCUCAAUACUUGCAAUUAUUCUAAUGAUCUCCCCAGAUGAUAUGCAGGGAAACCCAGCCCUAACACAGGUGGGGGCAGGAAGUAGUCUCCUAAUUUUAGAGAUAAAGGAACUGACUGCUGGAAAAGAAUCACUGAUGAGUGAUGCCACCAAAGAUGCACAGCUUUGAGGAGGCAAAAUCAGAACUGAAUCUUGUUCUUCCAGCACAAAGCCCACACUCUGUCCACU